rnacentral:ncRNA from 1 species
GACAAUAGGCUGAUCUUCCCCAUGAGUUGACAUCGACGGGAAGGUUUGGCACCUCGAUGUCCGCUCUUCACCACCUGGGGCGGUAGGACCUUAUUUUAAUUAGUUGACAGUUUAUAUUAGUAUUAGUUGAGAAUUUUGUGAAAGAUUUU